GACGAACGCUGGCGGCGUGCUUAACACAUGCCAGUCGAACGGUGAAGGGAUCAGCUUGCUGGUUCUGGAUGAGUGGCGAACGGGUGAGUAACACGUGAGUAACCUGCCCCCUUCUUCUGGAUAACCGCAUGAAAGUGUGGCUAAUACGGGAUAUUCUGGGUCUGUCGCAUGAUGGGUCUGGGAAAGAUAUUGUUUCGGUGGGGGAUGGGCUCGCGGCCUAUCAGCUUGUUGGUGGGGUGAUGGCCUACCAAGGCGGUGACGGGUAGCCGGCCUGAGAGGGUGGACGGUCACACUGGGACUGAGACACGGCCCAGACGCCUACGGGAGGCAGCAGUGGGGAAUAUUGCACAAUGGGCGCAAGCCUGAUGCAGCGACGCCGCGUGAGGGAUGGAGGCCUUCGGGUUGUAAACCUCUUUCGCCAGUGAAGCAGGCCUGCUCCUUGUGGGUGGGUUGACGGUAGCUGGAGAAGAAGCGCCGGCUAACUACGUG
rnacentral:rRNA from 1 species